CCUCUCGGGGGUAAGCGGGCAGAACUUGCAAGUAUUGUCAAGAGAUUCAGACUUGGUAUUGGAGGCGGAGUAUGCGGGUUAAAUGGAUCAUUCGUGGUCUGUUGAUCUGUGUGUUUCAUUCUUCUGAUAAUGCGUCGCACUUCUCUUGUACAUUCGGGUUGCAUGCAACUGAGAUGAUGGUUUAGGAGCUGGGGUACUGCGAAUCCUUGUGGUUCGAGUCCUAGUUUCCGACUAUUCUUGCGGUUGUUGAAAGCGAACAAGAGCUUGUCUCGGUCAAUUUCUUCCACGAGUCGUGUGCAUGGAUUAUAUGGACGGGUAACCGUAAUAUGACCUGUGUACUGGUUGUCAGUGUGAGUUAUUUGGCAUUGUUCAGUAUUGCAAUCUAAAGCAUGCGUGGUCUGCCUGU
rnacentral:rRNA from 1 species